rnacentral:rRNA from 1 species
UGAAACUGCGAAUGGCUCAUUAAAUCAGUUAUAAUUUAUUUGAUAAUACCUUACUACUUGGAUAACCGUGGUAAUUCUAGUGCUAAUACAUGCUCUAAGGCCCGACUUCUGGAAGGGCUGUAUUUAUUAGAUUAAAAACCAAUCGUAGCAAUACGUUUACUGGUGAAUCAUGAUAACUUUUCGAAUCGUAUAGCUUUGCUGGCGAUGGUUCAAUCAAAUUUCUGCCCUAUCACCUUUCGAUGGUAGUAUAGAGGACUACCAUGGGCGCAACGGGUAACGGAGAAUUAGGGUUCGAUUCCGGAGAGGGAGCCUGAGAAACGGCUACCACAUCCAAGGAAGGCAGCAGGCGCGCAAAUUACCCAAUUCCGAUACGGAGAGGUAGUGACAAUAAAUAACA